rnacentral:rRNA from 1 species
ACUCCUACGGGAGGCAGCAGUGGGGAAUAUUGCACAAUGGGCGCAAGCCUGAUGCAGCCAUGCCGCGUGUAUGAAGAAGGCCUUCGGGUUGUAAAGUACUUUCAGCGGGGAGGAAGGCGAUAAGGUUAAUAACCUUGUCGAUUGACGUUACCCGCAGAAGAAGCACCGGCUAACUCCGUGCCAGCAGCCGCGGUAAUACGGAGGGUGCAAGCGUUAAUCGGAAUUACUGGGCGUAAAGCGCACGCAGGCGGUCUGUCAAGUCGGAUGUGAAAUCCCCGGGCUCAGCCUGGGAACUGCAUUCGAAACUGGCAGGCUGGAGUCUUGUAGAGGGGGUAGAAUUCCAGGUGUAGCGGUGAAAUGCGUAGAGAUCUGGAGGAAUACCGGUGGCGAAGGCGGCCCCCUGGACAAAGACUGACGCUCAGGUGCGAAAGCGCGGGGAGCAAACAGGAUUAGAUACCCUGGUAGUC